AGGACGAACGCUGGCGGCGUGCUUAACACAUGCAAGUCGAGCGGUAAGGCCUUUCGGGGUACACGAGCGGCGAACGGGUGAGUAACACGUGGGUGAUCUGCCCCGCACUCUGGGAUAAGCCUGGGAAACUGGGUCUAAUACCGGAUAUGACCUGCUCUCGCAUGGGGGUGGGUGGAAAGAUUUAUCGGUGCAGGAUGGGCCCGCGGCCUAUCAGCUUGUUGGUGGGUAAUGGCCUACCAAGGCGACGACGGGUAGCCGACCUGAGAGGGUGACCGGCCACACUGGGACUGAGACACGGCCCAGACUCCUACGGGAGGCAGCAGUGGGGAAUAUUGCACAAUGGGCGAAAGCCUGAUGCAGCGACGCCGCGUGAGGAUGAAGGCCUUCGGGUUGUAAACCUCUUUCAGCAGGACGAAGCGACAAGUGACGGUACCUGCAGAAGAAGCACCGGCUAACGUACGUGCCCAGCGAGCCCGC
rnacentral:rRNA from 1 species